AGUGAACGCUGGCGGUAGGCCUAACACAUGCAAGUCGAACGGCAGCACAGUAAGAGCUUGCUCUUACGGGUGGCGAGUGGCGGACGGGUGAGGAAUACAUCGGAAUCUACUUUUUCGUGGGGGAUAACGUAGGGAAACUUACGCUAAUACCGCAUACGACCUACGGGUGAAAGCAGUGGAUCUUCGGACCUUGCGCGAUUGAAUUAGCCGAUGUCGGAUUAGCUAGUUGGCGGGGUAAAGGCCCACCAAGGCGACGAUCCGUAGCUGGUCUGAGAGGAUGAUCAGCCACACUGGAACUGAGACACGGUCCAGACUCCUACGGGAGGCAGCAGUGGGGAAUCUUGGACAAUGGGCGAAAGCCUGACCGAGCCAUACCGCGUGAGUGAAGAAGGCCUUCGGGUUGUAAAGCUCUUUUGUUGGGAAAGAAAAGCAGCAGGUUAAUACACCGAUGUUCUGACGGUACCCAAAGAAUAAGCACCGGCUAACUUCGUG
rnacentral:rRNA from 1 species